rnacentral:rRNA from 1 species
AAUUAUUUGGGGCGUUAAAGGGCUCGCAGGCGGUUUCUUAAGUCUGAUGUGAAAGCCCCCGGUUCAACCGGGGAGGGUCAUUGGAAACUGGGGAACUUGAGUGCAGAAGAGGAGAGUGGAAUUCCACGUGUAGCGGUGAAAUGCGUAGAGAUGUGGAGGAACACCAGUGGCGAAGGCGACUCUCUGGUCUGUAACUGACGCUGAUGAGCGAAAGCGUGGGGAGCGAACAGGAUUAGAUACCCUGGUAGUCCAUUCCGUAAACAAUGAGUGCUAAUUG